rnacentral:rRNA from 1 species
GAUGAACGCUAGCGAUAGGCUUAACACAUGCAAGUCGAGGGGCAGCAUGGUCUUAGCUUGCUAAGACUGAUGGCGACCGGCGCACGGGUGCGUAACGCGUAUGCAACUUGCCUCACAGAGGGGGAUAACCCGUCGAAAGACGGGCUAAUACCGCGUACACUCCAUCUUGGGCAUCCAAGGUAGAGGAAAUGAAAUUCGCUGUGAGAUAGGCAUGCGUCCCAUUAGCUAGUUGGUGAGGUAACGGCUCACCAAGGCGACGAUGGGUAGGGGAACUGAGAGGUUGAACCCCCACACUGGUACUGAGACACGGACCAGACUACUACGGGAGGCAGCAGUGAGGAAUAUUGGUCAAUGGGCGAGAGCCUGAACCAGCCAAGUCGCGUGAAGGAUGACUGUCUUAUGGAUUGUAAACUUCUUUUAUACGGGAAUAACAAGAGUCACGUGUGACUCCCUGCAUGUACCGUAUGAAUAAGCAUCGGCUAACUCCGUG